rnacentral:miRNA from 1 species
GGUGGGGGGUGUUGUUUU